UACGGGGGGGGUAAGCGUUGUUCGGAAUUACUGGUCGUAAAGGGCUCGUAGGCGGCCAACUAAGUCAUACGUGAAAUCCCUCAGCUUAACUGGGGAACUGCGUGUGAUACUGGAUGGCUUGGAUUUGGGAGAGGGAUGCGGAAUUCCAGGUGUAGCGGUGAAAUGCGUAGAUAUCUGGAGGAAUACCGGUGGCGAAGGCGGCAUCCUGGACCGGCAUUGACGCUGAGGAGCGAAAGCUAGGGGAGCAAACGGG
rnacentral:rRNA from 1 species